UUCUUCGUCCCUCUGAACGAGCUGGGGAAAGCCUACCUCGGCUUGCCAGGAGAUAUGAUCUUAAGUUUUAUUCAAGCGAUUAGCAUCCCUCUCAUUACUUCAAUCAUAAUAUCAGGUUUCUCUGUAUUUCCAAUCUCCAGCAAGGUAGAACGACGUGCAACAGCCUUCAUUUUGUCAACCAGUCUCCUGUCUGUUACUUCAGGGUUGAUACUGGUUAUGUCGAUCGAGCCAGGAGUCACUCGUGGUGUGACGGGGGAAAAUGCAGAAAUUGAGCAGCCGUUCG